AGCCACCAGCUGGCCUGGUCUUGCUGCUUCCUUUAGCGGCUUCCAAGGUCCAGGGACAGGGGGUCUGGGCCACCAAGAGGCUCUGCUAGGCUGUCCCUGCAGCCACAGCCACCCCACUGGACCCCUGCCUCCCAUCUGAGAGGACAGCCCUCUUCCUGGAGCUGGGAUCUGACACUUGCUGAUACCAACGGCAGAUACCAGGUAACGAGAUGUGAGCAGAAACAACCUGUGUCACACCUGGGCAGAAGCUUUAAAGGCCAGUGCUGCCCUUGUUGGGGAAGCAAGUAUAGAUAUGAAUCGUUCCACAACGCGGAGCGCCCCCUGCCGACCCAUGCUGGGCGUGUACUAUAGAUGAGGAGACUGAGGAUCAGAGAGAUAAAGUCACCUGUCCAAGGUCAUACUGUGGAUGUAGCUCUAACCCAAGCCCUCCCGACUGCAGCACAAAUUCUCAGCCACUACCCUAUUAGCCCCUUCAUUUGAAGGUGUCUUCAUCAUUGCCAAGAUUCCUUUUCCUCCCGGCCCCCUAAGUCUUCAGGAUUCCCUCAUCUCAUCUCCCCAGAGAAGCCAUGACACCAUCUUCUCCAAAAACAAAGUCAGCGCUUUCACUGUAGAUGGACCUGUGUUCUUCCCCCAAACUCAGUCCACCUCAUCUCCAGAAAAACUAUAUGACUUGCCCUGGAGAAGAGGGGGAAAAAAAAACCUCUUCCCACCAACUCCACCUCCCAAAUUACUGGAUUUGGGGUAAAUUUACAGGCUGGAGACAGAAGAAUGGAUGUGUAUUUAGCUUUCAAAUUGACUAUUGUUUUAUGUGAAUGUCUGAUAAAGAAAACACAAUGGCUGCCAGAUGGGGCCUGGGAGUGAGAUUUCCCAUGUGGAGAAUUCUAGAAGACAUGCCUGGAGUUCUGGAGCCUGGAUCCUCUGGACAGACAGGUGGCCAGCUAACCAGGGUGGAGGCACCAAAGAUAACUGUGGGGUGGGGAGAAGACACCAGCCCAAGAGAUUUGACUGGGAUUGGUCUACGCAAGAAUGGAAAAUGGAGGCAGAAUGAGUUAGCAGCAAGCACACGUACACUGCUAUAGAAUCUGAGGGACCCGGCCAGUGCUGGCCAAUAGAAAUAGAAUGUGAGCCACAGACAUAAUUUAAACUUUUCUUGUAGUCACUUAAAAACAUGGUAAAUCUAUGAAAUAGAAGAUUGCUCGUGCAAAUAAAUGAACUCUGCUUUGGUCUCAGUGAUCAGGGGUCCCACACUCAAGUGCCCUCAAUACCCAGAGAAGUAACUGAAAUAAAUGGAACAGAUAGGGUGUGAGCAAAGUUCACACGUUCCUCUAAGAAAAACAAUACAGCAAACAUGGUGAUUUAUGUUCAUUAAUAAGUUUCCGUAUGGGGACACUAAGGAAUAGUGGGGACUACGGCAAAUUAGAGGAAGCAUGAGAAUCUAAAGUGGCUCCAGGAGACUGUUGUCUCAUAGGUAUCAGUGUUGCUAGACCUUCACUUUUUUUAAAGGAGGUGAAAGUUGGGAUUUUCUUUAAUUUAUUUUUUUGACAGGGUCUUGCUCUGUCGCCCAGGCUGGAGUGCAGUGGCGAUCUUGGCUCACGGCAAUCUCCACCUCCUGGGUUCAAGAGAUUCUCCUGCCCCAGCCUCCUAAGUAGCUGGGAUUACAGGCGUGCUCCAGCAUGCCUGGCUAAUUUUUGCAUUUUUAGUAGAGAUGGGAUUUCCCACUGUUGGCCAAGCUGAUCUCGAAUUCCUGACCUCAAGUGAUCUGCCCACCUCCACCUCCCAAAGUGCUGGGAUUACAGGUGUGAGCCACCGGGCCCAGCCUCUAAUUUUUGUAUUUUUUGUAGAGACAGAAUCUUGCUGUGUUCAAGACCAGCCUGGCCAACAUGGCGAAACCCCGUCUCUACUAAAAAUACAAAAAUUAGCUGGGCAGUAGUGGCACGCGCCUGUAAUCCCAGCUACUCCAGAGGCUGAGGCAGGAGAAUUACUUGAACCUGGGAGGCGGAGAUUGCAGUGAGCCCAGAUCGAACCAUUGCAUUCCAGCCUCGGCGACAAGAUUGAGACUCCGUCUCAAAAACAAAAAGCAACAACAAAAAAAAUUGUUUGAAAGCCACUAAUCUGCCCAUAGCCUCUAACUUACAAGUAAGGAAGCUAAGGCCUACAAAUGUCAAGUACCUGAGAUCCUGUGUGUGUCAGGGCUAGAGCUGGGACCACAACCUGCUCCCAGCGCUGAGCCCUGCAGGCAGCUGGGUUUGCCUGGGAAGCUGCCCAGGGGAGCACCCAGGCCUCCCUCCAGUUUCUCUGGCUCUGCCCAGGGCAGGGCCGCCUGCUCUCUCCCUGUCUCCCCACCUCCUCUGCCCUUCGUCAUGCCUGUUUUGACAACUUUCUGACCUGCUCCUUCACAAACUCUGCUGGAGGUAUGGCUGCCUCCACUGCUUGUCCCAGAGAAUACAGAGGCGUUGGCAGUUUGGCGGCCCAGGCUCAGCCAGGCCCAUGGCAGACAGUCGUCAAACAGUGGCUGUCUGGGGAGAGAGAGGUCUGUUUACCCAGGGCAAGGCCCAGGCAGAGGCUGCCGUUUCCUCCCUCCACUACUGGCCCAUCCAGCUGCUCACCCUACUGACUCAGCUGUCCCCAUCUGUAUUUGCUCAUUCCGCAAAUACUUAUGGGGCGCCUACUGUGUGUCAAGCACUGUUCUACAUGCUGGGGAUACAGCAGGGGACAAGACAGCCUAACUCCCUGCUGUCAUGGAACUUCUGUGAAGGAGACAGAUGAUAAACAGAUCAAGGAAUACGUAAUUUCAGCGCUGUAGAGGAUAAUGGAAUUGCUAUCAAGGGAUGGAGGUGGGGCAGGCUUAGAUUUGGGUGUUCAAGGGAGGCUGCUCUGAGUGGAGGACAUUUGAACUAAGGCCCUGACAAUGAGAAGAAAUCAGCUAUGCAAAGAUCUGGGGAAGAGGCAUUCCUGGCAGAGAGAACAGCAAGUACAAAGGCCCAAUGGCAGGAGUGUGCUUGGCGUGAUUGAAGGAUUGUCAAAAGGCCAGUGUGGCUGGGCGUUGUGGCUCACGCCUGUAAUCCCAGCACUUCGGGAG
rnacentral:lncRNA from 10 species